rnacentral:rRNA from 1 species
GAGCGUGCGACUGUGCUAUACAUGCAGUCGAGCGAAUGACGAGAAGCUUGCUUCUCUGAUUUAGCGGCGGACGGGUGAGUAACACGUGGGCAACCUGCCCUACAGAUUGGGAUAACUCAGGGAAACCUGGGCUAAUACCGAAUAAUCCUUCGAAUCACAUGUUUUGAAGUUGAAAGGCGCUUCGGCGUCACUGUAGGAUGGGCCCGCGGUGCAUUAGCUAGUUGGUGGGGUAACGGCCUACCAAGGCAACGAUGCAUAGCCGACCUGAGAGGGUGAUCGGCCACAUUGGGACUGAGACACGGCCCAAACUCCUACGGGAGGCAGCAGUAGGGAAUCUUCCACAAUGGACGAAAGUCUGAUGGAGCAACGCCGCGUGAGUGAUGAAGGUUUUCGGAUCGUAAAACUCUGUUGUAAGGGAAGAACAAGUACGUUAGGAAAUGAACGUACCUUGACGGUACCUUAUUAGAAAGCCACGGCUAACUACGUGCCAGCAGCCGCGGUAAUACGUAGGUGGCAAGCGUUGUCCGGAUUUAUUGGGCGUAAAGCGCGCGCAGGUGGUUUCUUAAGUCUGAUGUGAAAGCCCACGGCUCAACCGUGGAGGGUCAUUGGAAACUGGGGAACUUGAGUGCAGAAGAGGAUAGUGGAAUUCCAAGUGUAGCGGUGAAAUGCGUAGAGAUUUGGAGGAACACCAGUGGCGAAGGCGACUGUCUGGUCUGUAACUGACACUGAGGCGCGAAAGCGUGGGGAGCAAACAGGAUUAGAUACCCUGGUAGUCCACGCCGUAAACGAUGAGUGCUAAGUGUUAGGGGUUUCCGCCCCUUAGUGCUGCAGCUAACGCAUUAGCACUCCGCCUGGGGAGUACGACCGCAAGUUGAAACUCAGAAAAUUUGACCGGA